rnacentral:rRNA from 1 species
UCAGGCCUAACACAUGCAAGUCGAACGAGACCUUCGGGUCUAGUGGCGCACGGGUGCGUAACGCGUGGGAAUCUGCCCUUGGGUCCGGAAUAACAGUUAGAAAUGACUGCUAAUACCGGAUGAUGACUUCGGUCCAAAGAUUUAUCGCCCAGGGAUGAGCCCGCGUCGGAUUAGCUAGUUGGUGAGGUAAAGGCUCACCAAGGCGACGAUCCGUAGCUGGUCUGAGAGGAUGAUCAGCCACACUGGGACUGAGACACGGCCCAGACUCCUACGGGAGGCAGCAGUGGGGAAUAUUAAAGAAUGGGCGAAAGCCUGAUCCAGCAAUGCCG